CGGCGGUUACUCGAACGGAUACAGAGACUGGCCUUUCAAGCCAGAAAAAUGGGUUCAACCCCCAUACCGUCGA
rnacentral:tRNA from 1 species